rnacentral:rRNA from 1 species
AAGUAAAUUUAAUUUAUUGUACCUUGUGUAUCAGGGUUUAUUAAAUAUAAAAUAUUAAUAAAAAUAUUAUUCUCGAAAUUAAAAGUUCUAUUUAAUUAAAAAAUUUAUUGUAGAAAAAAUAUUUUUAAUAUUUAAAUUGUAAUGAAAUGUUAAUCGUUUUUAAUUAUAUCUAGUUAUUUAAUAAAUAAAUUUAAUUUAAGUAUUAAUAAAUAUUUUUAAUAUAUAUAUAUAUAUAAUUAUUUAAAAUAAUUUAAUAUAUUUAGUACUAAAAUUUUAAGGGAUAAUCUUUAAAAUUUAUUUUUAAAAUAAAUUUAAUAUAUAUAUAUAUAUAAUGUAUAUUAUAAUUAUUUUAUAUUAAUUUAAUAAUCUUAGAAAUAGUUUUUAAAAAAAAAAUGUUAUAAUUUAUUUAAUGAAUUUAAAAAUUUAUAUUAAAAAUUUAAUAUUUUAUUAAAUUAUUUAUAUUAAUAAUUUUUUAUAAAGUAAUAAUGAUAAAAUUAGUAAAAUUUUGUAUUUAAAAUUUUUAUAUUUUGAUAAUUUAUAAUAAGGAAUUAGGCAAAAUAAUUUAUUCGCCUGUUUAUCAAAAACAUGUCUUUUUGAGAUUAAUUUAAAGUCUGAUCUGCUCAAUGAAUUUUUUAAAUAGCUGCAGUAUCUUGACUGUACAAAGGUAGCAUAAUAAUUUGUCUUUUUAUUGGAGACUAGAAUGAAAGAUUUAACGAAAUAAAAACUGUCUUUUUUUAAUUUUUAUUUGAAUUUAAUUUUUAAGUUAAAAAGCUUAAAUUUUUUUAAAGGACGAGAAGACCCUAUAGAGUUUAAUAAUUUAUAUUUUAUAUUUUAGUAAUUUAAUGAAUUUAAUUUAAAAAUUAUUUUGUUGGGGUGAUAGGAAAAUUUAAUAAACUUUUUUAAUAUUUAACCAAUGAUAUUUGAAUAAUUGAUCCUAAAUUUUAGAUUAGUAGAAUAAAUUACCUUAGGGAUAACAGCGUUAUUUUUUUUAAAGUUCAUAUUUAUAAAAAAGAUUGCGACCUCGAUGUUGGAUUAAAUUUAAAUUUAGGUGUAGAAGUUUAAAUUUUAAGUCUGUUCGACUUUUAAAAAUUUACAUGAUCUGAGUUCAAACCGGUGUAAGCCAGGUUGGUUUCUAUCCUUAAAUAAUAAUAAAUUUUUAGUACGAAAGGAUCAAAAUUUUGAAAUAAUUUUUUUAUUAUUUGAAUUUAAUUAAUUUAAUAA